UAGGGAAUAUUGCUCAAUGGGCGAAAGCCUGAAGCAGCAACGCCGCGUGGAGGAUGACACUUUUCGGAGCGUAAACUCCUUUUCUUAGGGAAGAAAUUUGACGGUACCUAAGGAAUAAGCACCGGCUAACUCCGUGCCAGCAGCCGCGGUAAUACGGAGGGUGCAAGCGUUACUCGGAAUCACUGGGCGUAAAGGACGCGUAGGCGGAUUAUCAAGUCUUUUGUGAAAUCUAAUGGCUUAACCAUUAAACUGCUUGAGAAACUGAUAAUCUAGAGUGAGGGAGAGGCAGAUGGAAUUCUUGGUGUAGGGGUAAAAUCCGUAGAGAUCAAGAAGAUACCCAUUGCGAAGGCGAUCUGCUAGAACUCAACUGACGCUAAUGCGUGAAA
rnacentral:rRNA from 1 species